GGCCUACCAAGGCAACGAUCAGUAGCUGGUCUGAGAGGAUGAUCAGCCACACUGGGACUGAGACACGGCCCAGACUCCUACGGGAGGCAGCAGUGGAGAAUUUUCCGCAAUGGGCGAAAGCCUGACGGAGCAACGCCGCGUGAGGGAUGAAGGCCUCUGGGCUGUAAACCUCUUUUCUCAAGGAAGAAGACCUGACGGUACUUGAGGAAUAAGCCACGGCUAAUUCCGUGCCAGCAGCCGCGGUAAUACGGGAGUGGCAAGCGUUAUCCGGAAUUAUUGGGCGUAAAGCGUCCGCAGGCGGCCUUGUAAGUCUGUUGUUAAAGCGUGGAGCUCAACUCCAUUUAAGCAACGGAAACUACAAGGCUGGAGUGUGGUAGGGGCAGAGGGAAUUCCCGGUGUAGCGGUGAAAUGCGUAGAUAUCGGGAAGAACACCAGUGGCGAAGGCGCUCUGCUGGGCCACAACUGACGCUCAUGGACGAAAGCCAGGGGAGCGAAAGGGAUUAGAUACCCCUGUAGUCCUGGCCGUAAACGAUGAACACUAGGUGUCGGGGGAAUCGACCCCCUCGGUGUCGUAGCCAACGCGUUAAGUGUUCCGCCUGGGGAGUACGCACGCAAGUGUGAAACUCAAAGGAAUUGACGGGGGCCCGCACAAGCGGUGGAGUAUGUGGUUUAAUUCGAUGCAACGCGAAGAACCUUACCAGGGUUUGACAUCCUGCGAACCCCUGAGAAAUCGGGGGGUGCCUUCGGGAGCGCAGAGACAGGUGGUGCAUGGCUGUCGUCAGCUCGUGUCGUGAGAUGUUGGGUUAAGUCCCGCAACGAGCGCAACCCACGUCUUUAGUUGCCAGCAUUCAGUUGGGCACUCUAGAGAGACCGCCGGUGAUAAACCGGAGGAAGGUGUGGAUGACGUCAAGUCAUCAUGCCCCUUACAUCCUGGGCUACACACGUACUACAAUGCUACGGACAAAGGGCAGCAAGCUCGCGAGAGUUAGCAAAUCCCAUAAACCGUGGCUCAGUUCAGAUCGUAGGCUGCAACUCGCCUACGUGAAGGAGGAAUCGCUAGUAAUCGCAGGUCAGCAUACUGCGGUGAAUACGUUCCCGGGCCUUGUACACACCGCCCGUCACACCAUGGAAGUUGGCCAUGCCCGAAGUCGUUACUCCAACCCUUGUGGAGGAGGACGCCGAAGGUGGGGCUGAUGACUGGGGUGAAGUCGUAGCAAGGUAGCCGUACCGGAAGGUGCGGCUG
rnacentral:rRNA from 1 species